GAUGAACGCUGGCGGCGUGCCUAAUACAUGCAAGUCGAGCGAACGGACGAGGAGCUUGCUUCUCUGAUGUUAGCGGCGGACGGGUGAGUAACACGUGGAUAACCUACCUAUAAGACUGGGAUAACUUCGGGAAACCGGAGCUAAUACCGGAUGAUAUUUUGAACCGCAUGGUUCAAAAGUGAAAGACGGUCUUGCUGUCACUUAUAGAUGGAUCCGCGCUGCAUUAGCUAGUUGGUAAGGUAACGGCUUACCAAGGCAACGAUGCAUAGCCGACCUGAGAGGGCGAUCGGCCACACUGGAACUGAGACACGGUCCAGACUCCUACGGGAGGCAGCAGUAGGGAAUCUUCCGCAAUGGGCGAAAGCCUGACGGAGCAACGCCGCGUGAGUGAUGAAGGUCUUCGGAUCGUAAAACUCUGUUAUUAGGGAAGAACAUAUGUGUAAGUAACUGUGCACAUCUUGACGGUACCUAAUCAGAAAGCCACGGCUAACUACGUG
rnacentral:rRNA from 1 species